GCUGGACGAACCCCGGCCCCGAGCACCCCACGGCUCGUGCCGUGCAUCACCCCGUGGCUCGGCUGUGACCCUCCCGGGGGGGGCGCUGAAGCCAGCAGCUCCAUUGGGACCAGCCCCGUGUGGCUCGUGGCCACCUGCCCUCGCGUGCCCCAGGCAAAGCUGCUUGGCCCCGGCUCAGCCCGGAGGCUUACGGAGGUGCACGCUGACGGCAGCGGGCACGCAGGUCCCCCCGCCGGUGCCAGGAGGUGUCCCCCCCCCCUGUGACAACGCCUCCGGGUGACACCUCCCUUGUUGUCCUGUCCGGGGGGUUAAACAUUAACAGGGGCUGUGGCCAGGGCAAGGCCAGGGGAGUCACUGGAGGGGAUAAGGGAAGGGUGUUGUUUUGGGAGAAAGCAAUGCUCAGAAAGUGUCCCCACGCUCUGGUUGUCCCUGCGCUGGUCAUCUUCUCCCACCCGGCUGCUCCUCCGGCCCCUCCUCAGCUCCCACUCUUCCUCCCCAGCUGCUUUCUUCGUCUCUCAUGGUCGAGCAGGCGCUUGCUGAGCUGCCCAGUGCAUUUCCCCGUGGAGAGGGCACUUCUUGCAUCUCCUGCCUUCGGUCUGGCCAGGGGAGAGCUGCUGGGGCUGCACCAAGGUGGGCUUCCACCAGCCCUGCUUUCCCCUCGCUGCUUGGGCACACAUGGGAAAGCCUGGGCGAUGGCUCAGCACCAGGACAAGGAACAACGCGCAGCCCGAAGGCUUCGCAAGGGGUUGUGCUCCCGAAGCAAGAAGGAAAAAGAGGGCUCGUAGCCCCAGGCAGAGCAAAGCAGCAGGGGAACCUUCAGCAGCAGCUGUUUUCCAGGCAGAACCGUCCCCCUGCCACCGAGGGCCCUCUGAAGAGCCUCGCUCGCCCGUUUCUGUGGGUGAUACACCCACGUGCUGGGGAGAUUUAGUGCCCGUGAGGAGCGGGAAGAAGAAAGCUGGGAAAGCCCUUGGCUGCCAGGAGAGUGGCAUUGCACAGCAACGGGGAGCGUCUGCCCUAAGGAGCUGGAGCAUCCGGCCUUCCUUGGCAUGCAGGCACAGGGGGGAAGCUUCAUUUGAAAGAAAACAUCCGAGCUCAGCGCCAGGCCAGCUUUGCAGCAUGCAGCAGGCGAGCAGGAGGGAUGCGAGCGGCGGGGAUCAGAGGAAAAGCUCACCCCAGGCGGAGGGGGCCGAGGAGCAAUCCACUGCAUGCCAAUUGCCAGAGUCAUCCCCGCGGUCCUGGAAACCAGCGCUGGGUCCUGGAAACGCUGCUGGAAGAGAGGCUGCACCAUAAAUUUUAAACGUAAGGCAGCCCCGGAGAGGCAAUAAAUACGUUUGCGAGCACA
rnacentral:lncRNA from 1 species